AUUGCAGAGGGGCCAGCCAUGGGCUUUGGAUAGAUGCAGCCCCAGGAUGACUUGAAAGUAGGGCAUCCUUGGCCUUCCGGAAGAGAGUAAAUUCACGGCACGUGGACGGUCUGUAUGGCGUUCUCAGAUGCCUUUUUCUGAGUGAGAAAUCUGCCUCCAUCAGAAUCUCAGAUGUCUGACAGCCCUGUGUGACACCAGGAUAG